UAUAUACUUAUAUUUAUUAUAUAGAACUAAGCUGGAAUACUAUUAAUAGCACAAAUAAUUUAGUGCUAUUAAAUUUUCUAUCUUUAGAUUAAAAGAUAUGCGGUUAGGAUGAUGUGGGCUCCCUAAGGUUGAGUGGGUGGUUAGUUGAAUAAUAUAAUUGAACGGAUUAAAAUGAUAAAAGAGGUAAAUUUAACGACAGAAAACUUGAUAGCACCAAAUAUUUCGUGCUGUCGAUAGUAUCCCAGCCGGACUCUAUUAUAUAUGUAUAUAAAAUGUGGCAUGUGUUGUAAUGUCAUGGGGGUGGGUGUAGAUGUAUAUAGGUGUAUAGGUGUACAGUGGGAGGAGGUGGGAUGUGGCAGGGAUUAAACCCCCUUGCCUCCAUUUUGGACUGUUAAGGAUGUCAUGUCUUGUCAUGACCCCAUGGGGGAUGGGGCCCAUGCCCAUCAUGGGUCACCAUUUUACCCACCCUAUUGAUGGGAUCCACUUUUUAUGCAACAGUCCACAAUGAUGGCUAUUGGUAAAUAUAUAUAUAUAUAUAUAUAUAUAUAUAUAUAUAUUAUUAUAUAUAUAUAUAUUAAUAUAUAUAUAUAUUUCUCUCCACACAAAAAAAAAAAAUAAAAAUAUAUAUUUUUUGGUUACCCUUAAAUUACAAAUAGCAUUAUAUUUUAGUUUUCAAACUUUAAUUUGUUAUUUUUUUUGACUUGAGCUUUCUCGGUUGUUGUAAUUAAACUCCACAAUCUAAUUCAGUUAGCUAAAUAGUGAUAAAUUGUUGAAAUCAAAGUGAUAUCGCAUCAUAAUUUUUAUCGCAUUAUCCAUUAUAAUACUUUUGCAUUAAUUCUAUUUCAAUAAUAGUUUGUUAAUACUUAGCCAUUUAAAUUGACUUGUAGGCUUGAUUGG
rnacentral:lncRNA from 1 species